ensembl:lncRNA
CCGGAGACAGGUGCUGCUGCUCGUUUGCUCAAUCACCCAUCACAUAAUGGUUUAACACUUAUAUUUUGGGCAUUGCACUAGUUGCGAAGGAUAUAUAAAUGAACAAGUCAUCGCAUUCUAGUGCGGGGGCGUCCUACAAGAAGCAGUUUAGCAAACGGGUAUAAAAUACGACAGCUGGUACCAUGGACUGUGAAGAAACAUAAGAAGCGUGUGAGCUACUGUGAGGGACGAGCCACAGAGAGCAAAAGGAGACAACAGAACAGACACCAAGAGGCCGCAGGAGAUGCUUAAAAGAAUAAAAGCUGCAAUGACAUGAUGUGUAUAUAACCAAAUGAAGGGGAGGGCUAGGAGCUGCUUAUAAGGCAACGGGAGACAUGACAAGAAGAAUGGGAAGAGAAACAGAGGCACGGGGAGCAGAAUCAGAAAAGUCUCACGACGAAAUCCCAGGCGAAGAAACUAAAACGACAGGCAGACACAGCAGUCACGGGUUUUCUAAACACAGACCCAGGGAGCGUGGUGCUUCUCAAGGAGGACACAGAGAAAAUGAAGCUGCACUUUGCACCUCUGAGGGAAACUUCAGAUGGAGAGAAGUGAGGAGAACAGUCACGGAGAAAGGACAGUGUGCAACGUGAGCUUCUCCAUCCCUAGCCACAGUGAUGGGCUGGGAGACUGCAGUAGGGUCCCCAAAGGGAGGCGAACAAAGAAAUGUCAGCUAGGAUUGCCUGCAGCAAACAGCCCUUUCAUAAACUAAGGCAC